AUGAACGCUGGCGGCAUGCCUAACACAUGCAAGUCGAACGAGAUCCUUCGGGGUCUAGUGGCGCACGGGUGCGUAACGCGUGGGAAUCUACCCUUGGGUUCGGAAUAACAGUGAGAAAUUACUGCUAAUACCGGAUGAUGACGUAAGUCCAAAGAUUUAUCGCCCAGGGAUGAGCCCGCGUAAGAUUAGCUAGUUGGUGGGGUAAAGGCCUACCAAGGCGACGAUCUUUAGCUGGUCNGAGAGGAUGAUCAGCCACACUGGGACUGAGACACGGCCCAGACUCCUACGGGAGGCAGCAGUGGGGAAUAUUGGACAAUGGGCGCAAGCCUGAUCCAGCAAUGCCGCGUGAGUGAUGAAGGCCUUAGGGUUGUAAAAUUCUUUCACCGGGGAAGAUAAUGACGGUACCCGGAGAAGAAGCCCCGGCUAACUUCGUGCCAGCAGCCGCCGU
rnacentral:rRNA from 1 species